rnacentral:rRNA from 1 species
UACGUAGGGGGCUAGCGUUGUCCGGAAUCAUUGGGCGUAAAGAGCGCGUAGGCGGCCAGAUAAGUCCGGUGUGAAAGUCACAGGCUCAACCUGUGAAUGCCGCUGGAAACUGUCUGGCUAGAGUCCGGAAGGGGCGAGUGGAAUUCCUGGUGUAGCGGUGAAAUGCGCAGAUAUCAGGAGGAACACCAAUGGCGAAGGCAGCUCGCUGGGACGGUACUGACGCUGAGGUGCGAAAGCGUGGGGAGCAAACAGG